rnacentral:rRNA from 1 species
UACGUAGGGGGCAAGCGUUGUCCGGAUUUAUUGGGCGUAAAGAGCGUGUAGGCGGCCAGGUAGGUCUGCUGUGAAAACUCGAGGCUCAACCUCGAGAUGUCGGCGGAAACCAUCUGGCUAGAGUCCGGAAGAGGAGAAUGGAAUUCCCGGUGUAGCGGUGAAAUGCGCAGAUAUCGGGAAGAACACCCGUGGCGAAGGCGGUUCUCUGGGACGGUACUGACGCUGAGACGCGAAAGCGUGGGGAGCGAGCCGG